rfam:Stegodyphus mimosarum contig73735, whole genome shotgun sequence.
UCCUUCGUGGUGUAGUGGUCAGCACGCUCGGCGCGUAUUCGAGAGGUCCGUGGUUCGAGUCCCAGCGAAAGCA